rnacentral:lncRNA from 1 species
CAAAGUACUUCUGCAUGCUUUCAUUGUUUCUUAUCUUGCAGUGUUUUAGCUCUUAAAACCCUUGGAUUUUAGAUGUCAAGGAGCGCUGUGAUGAUUCAGUGACCACCAGGGGGCACCAGGAUCUCUGGGUGUUGGGCCAAUCAAGUCUACACUGAAUAAAGAUGAGGUCAUGAAGCUGCCCUGUGUGGGGAGAGGGGGUUCUGCAUGAACGAGAUUUGUAUCAGAUCAGACUUCAGCUCAUAAGUUGAUUGCAGCCUCCUGAGAGAGUUUGUGGCAAAGACACGGGACCAC